rnacentral:rRNA from 1 species
UACGGGGGGGGCAAGCGUUGUUCGGAAUUACUGGGCGUAAAGGGCUCGUAGGCGGCCAACUAAGUCCGACGUGAAAUCCCCAGGCUUAACCUGGGAACUGCGUCGGAUACUGGAUGGCUUGAAUUCGGGAGAGGGAUGCAGAAUUCCAGGUGUAGCGGUGAAAUGCGCAGAUAUCAGGAGGAACACCAGUGGCGAAGGCGGUGCUCUGGGCCGGUACUGACGCUGAGGAGCGAAAGCGUGGGGAGCAAACAGG